rnacentral:tRNA from 1 species
UCCCGCAUAGCUCAGCGGUAGAGUAGGUGGCUGUUAACCAUUUGGUCGCUGGUUCGAAUCCAGCUGCGGGAGCCA